rnacentral:rRNA from 1 species
CAGCCGCCGCGGUAAUACGUAGGUGGCAAGCGUUGUCCGGAAUUAUUGGGCGUAAAGCGUGCGCAGGCGGUUGUGUAAGACAGGUGUGAAAUCCCCGGGCUUAACCUGGGAACUGCGCUUGUGACUGCACAGCUAGAGUAUGGCAGAGGGAGGUGGAAUUCCACGUGUAGCAGUGAAAUGCGUUGAGAUCGGAAAGAACACCAACGGCGAAAGCACUCUGCUGGGCCGACACUGACACUGAGAGACGAAAGCUAGGGGAGCAAAUGGGAUUAGAUACCCGCGUAGUCCCUGUCUCUUAUAC